rnacentral:rRNA from 1 species
UACGUAGGGCGCAAGCGUUGUCCGGAAUUAUUGGGCGUAAAGAGCUCGUAGGCGGCCAGUUGCGUCUGCUGUGAAAUCCCCGGGCUCAACCCGGGAACUGCUUCUGAUACUGGCGGACUUGAGGCCAGUAGGGGUCACUAGAACUGACGGUGGAGCGGUGAAAUGCGUAGAUAUCGUCAGGAAUGCCGGUGGUGAAGACGGGUGGCUGGGCUGGUUCUGACACUGAGGCACGAAAGCGUGGGGAGCGAACGGG